rnacentral:rRNA from 1 species
UACGUAGGUGGCAAGCGUUGUCCGGAUUUACUGGGCGUAAAGAGCGCGCAGGCGGUCAGAUAAGUCGAAUGUGAAAGCCCCCGGCUUAACUGGGGAGGGUCAUUCGAUACUGCUCGGCUCGAAGACAGGAGAGGGAAGUGGAAUUCCCGGUGUAGUGGUGAAAUGCGUAGAUAUCGGGAGGAACACCAGUGGCGAAGGCGACUUUCUGGCCUGUUCUUGACGCUGAGGCGCGAAAGCUAGGGGAGCAAACGGG